CAUAUAAACCAGGAUUAGAUACCCUAUUAUACUUUAAUUUCUUUGGUAGUAUUACUAUUUUUAAUAAACCAAUGUAGUUUGGCGGCAUUCAAUCACUUUAGAGGAACCUGUCUAUUAAUCGACUCUCCACGAUAUAUUUCACUUUUAUUUAUAUUUUAUAUACCACCAUCUUUUAGGAUUAAUAUAAAUAUUCUUUCCUUAAUAGAAACUUCUCAUAAGUUAGGUAAAGGUGUAGACUAUAUAAAAGAUAAGAUGGGUUACAUUAAGAAAUACUGAAGGAUAAUCAUUCAAAUAUUUUUGGAAAAAGGAUUUAUUAGUAAUAUUAAAAGAUUAAUUAUAAAUGAAAUUGACAAAUAUGUGCACAUAUCGCCCGUCACUCUCACAUAUAAACCAGGAUUAGAUACCCUAUUAUACAUAUCGCCCGUCACUCUCACAUAUAAACCAGGAUUAGAUACCCUAUUAUACAUAUCGCCCGUCACUCUCACAUAUAAACCAGGAU
rnacentral:rRNA from 1 species